GAAUAUUGCGCAAUGGAGGGAACUCUGACGCAGCGACGCCGCGUGAGCGAUGAAGGUCNUCGGAUNGNAAAGCUCUGUCUAGAGGNCUGAAACAUGACAGUACCUCUGGAGGAAGCCCCGGCUAACUACGUGCCAGCAGCCGCGGUAAUACGUAGGGGGCAAGCGUUGUCCGGAUUUACUGGGCGUAAAGGGCGCGUAGGCGGUAGUAUAAGUCAGAUGUGAAAGUCCAGGGCUCAACCGUGGAAUUGCAUUUGAAACUGUGCUACUUGAGUGCAGGAGAGGAGAGCGGAAUUCCUAGUGUAGCGGUGAAAUGCGUAGAGAUUAGGAAGAACACCAGUGGCGAAGGCGGCUCUCUGGACUGUAACUGACGCUGAGGCGCGAAAGCGUGGGUAGCGAAC
rnacentral:rRNA from 1 species